CGUUUUUUCCUGAGAGGGAAUUCCGGAAUACUCUCAACAUCCGGCGUCUGCUCCUGUCACGUAUUUAAUCGAAUCACGGCCAAACUAUGCCACUAUUCCGCAUGCACAGUAAAUUUUUUUACACCCAGUUUUGCACCAAAUCCGUGUUUUUCUACAUAAGCACCCCUUUUUACUCCCAGAGGUGUAAUAAAAGGCGUAAAAAACAGCGUAAGAAAAGGUGUUCUGAAAUUUACACGUAUUUUUACACCUACAGGCAAAUCAAAUGGUGUUACUAGAGUGUGAAAAAGGGUGUAAAUAUCAAAACACCCCUGUUACACGAUUUUUACUCUUUUUGCGCGAGUUAAGGGUGUUAAAAUGGUGUUAAAAGACGUCAAUGAUGGUUUUGAGAGAAAGGCUAUACUACCAUCACUGGUGUUUCAGAAGGCAUUAAGGAAGCACACACUGACGAGAUAUAGUGUUUAUGGCAGGCCAAAGUCAGAUGUGUGCAAUUAGCUUCGUUUCGUUAUUUUUCUUUUUUCCAAGAGGUAAACAGGCGUCGGUCCCCUGGCGGAAAACCCCGCCACGGGACCGACGCACGUUGGAGUCGGUGGGCGGCAAGCCAAGCCAAAUCAAGGCCGUCGGCGCGGCGUUCGUUUUUUUUUUUUCGUUUUGGUUCGUUUGGUAUGGUGAGGCCGCGUCCGUUACAGUGAGAUAGAGCUUGUUUUUCAGCAAAAAUGACAGACGCUACGUGCCUAGUUGUGGUGCUUCAUGCGGACAUUAGACAAAAGUGCCUGCUUGAAGAGGACACUCCAACUGCUUUGAGGAGUGCUAUCUCGGCUUCGAGAAUGUUGGCGUCAUACGUGAACGCCACUGACAGGAAUCAGGUUCGGGAUAGCGACUUCAGUGAGUGUUGAAUUCGCGGAGGGCGCUGAGAUAAUGCAUACGGCGACAGUACCCGUCUUGCAACCUCACCGCCAGGAACGCUCGAAGGAUCCAACCUCCUUGCUGUCCACGCCCUGCGAAUACUGGGUUCGUGUGUGAAGGGUUCCGAAGCAAUAAAGAACAUGUUUGUGCAUUAUGAUACACCUGUGCCGGUGACACCGUGCAUCAUGUUCACUGGGAGCAGCUUUCAAGAAGCGGAGCAUAUGGACCUCUAUGUCGGCGAGUAGCGCCUUCUCAGAACCAUCAACCUUGACGAGGGCUUGGCUGCUAUUCUUGCAGCUAUUGGUUAUUUCAUAUUGUCUACAGUUCAAAGCCGCACCGUACAUCUUGAAGCCUGGAAGAGCGGUGCCUGAAAGUGAGUGAUUCCCGUGCAAGAAGCCCCGUGGAUCAAUUUUUUCAACAGUUAUGGAAAAGAGCUUGUGAAUGCUUCGAACAUCUAAAACAUUUGCUACUUUAACUGACUUGUAGUGAGCCCUCCAUUCCCCCCCCUCCCGCCCACCUCCCAAACAGGCAGCCAUUUCGUCAAGGAAUUGGAAAUUCUUCGGAAGCACGGGUGUGUUCUUUCUUGUUCUUUGGCACUGAACUCUCAUAAGCAUGGGGGAUUACCUUUCUUCUGGCAAUGUAGCCAUCCAUUUGUCAACAUACCUGGCACAGCACAUUGCAUUUAGGGAAAUUGUUUUGGGUAUUCUGUGCUUCCAUUUCUAGUCUUUAGUAUGUGCUCUUGUUAAGAGAUAGUCUUCUAUCCGUUUUCCUUUUUCUUUUUUUUUUUGCUUGCCAGAAAAGCUGUUUUCUUUUGUAAAAGCUGUUUGCUGGCUGUUUUCAUUACCCUUUCGCAUCAACGUGCUAUAUUUGCACUAGCUUCUUAUUUGGUGUACUGGAUCUGUAGUGGUGCCUUAUGUGGAUUUAAACAUUUAAUAUGCCUUUUCAUCUUAUUUUGUGUCUCAUUGCUGCUGUUUCAAUUAGUUAUGUCAUCAAGGACUCAGUUCUGCUUUGCGUUCCUUCCACAUACUGUGCAUAUUGUUCCACUCUGGGCAACGUUAUAAGGAAUUUAGUUUCACAUGUGUACAUGCACUUGUACUUCGCCAAUAAACAUAACUUUGUUGUCAUA